AGAGUUUGAUCCUUGGCUCAGAUUGAACGCUGGCGGCGUGCUUUAACACAUGCAAGUCGAGCGAGAAAGCUCUCUUCGGAGAGUGAGUAGAGCGGCGCACGGGUGAGUAACGCGUGGAUAAUCUGCCCUGAAGAUCGGGAUAACAGUUGGAAACGGCUGCUAAUACCGUAUAAUCUGCAUAUUUAACUUUAUGUGGGAAAGAUGGCCUCUACUUGUAAGCUAUCACUUUUGGAUGAGUCCGCGUCUCAUUAGCUUGUUGGUGGGGUAAUGGCCUACCAAGGCAACGAUGAGUAGCUGGUCUGAGAGGAUGAUCAGCCACACUGGGACUGAAACACGGCCCAGACUCCUACGGGAGGCAGCAGUGGGGAAUAUUGCGCAAUGGGGGAAACCCUGACGCAGCGACGCCGCGUGUAGGAAGAAGGCCUUCGGGUCGUAAACUACUGUCAAGAGGGAAGAAACCGUAGAGUAUUAAUACGACUCUGCGCUGACGGUACCUCUAGAGGAAGCACCGGCUAACUCCGUGCCAGCAGCCGCGGUAAUACGGAGGGUGCGAGCGUUAAUCGGAAUCACUGGGCGUAAAGCGUGCGUAGGCGGCGUAUCAAGUCAGGCGUGAAAGCCCUCGGCUCAACCGGGGAAUUGCGCUUGAAACUGGUACGCUAGAGUCUCGGAGAGGUUGGCGGAAUUCCAGGUGUAGGAGUGAAAUCCGUAGAUAUCUGGAGGAACACCGGUGGCGAAGGCGGCCAACUGGACGAGUACUGACGCUGAGGUACGAAAGCGUGGGUAGCAAACAUGA
rnacentral:rRNA from 1 species